GACGAACGCUGGCGGCGUGCUUAACACAUGCAAGUCGAACGGAAAGGCCCUGCUUUUGUGGGGUGCUCGAGUGGCGAACGGGUGAGUAACACGUGAGUAACCUGCCCUUGACUUUGGGGUAACUUCAGGAAACUGGGGCUAAUACCGGAUAGGAGCUCCUGCUGCGUGGAGGGGGUUGGAAAGUUUCGGCGGUUGGGGAUGGACGCGCGGCUGAUCAGCUAGUUGGUGGGGUAGUGGCUGACCAAGUCUUUGACGGGUAGCCGGCCUGAGAGGGGGACCGGCCACAUUGGGACUGCGGUACGGCCCAGUGUCCUACGGGAGGCAGCAGUGGGGAAUAUUGCACAAUGGGCGGAAGCCUGAUGCAGCAACGCCGCGUGCGGGAUGACGGCCUUCGGGUUGUAAACCGCUUUCGCCUGUGACGAAGCGUGAGUGACGGUAAUGGGUAAAGAAGCACCGGCUAACUACGUG
rnacentral:rRNA from 1 species